AUCCUAGCCGUAAACGAUGUCAACUAGCUGUGGGAGGUAUCGACCCCUCCCGUGGCGACGCUAACGCAUUAAGUUGACCGCCUGGGGAGUACGGCCGCAAGGUUAAAACUCAAAGGAAUUGACGGGGGCCCGCACAAGCGGUGGAGCAUGUGGUUUAAUUCGACGCUACGCGAAGAACCUUACCUGGGCUCGAACGACUGGUAGUAGUCCGGUAGAAAUACUGGGCGACCCGCAAGGGAGCCAGCCGAGGUGCUGCAUGGUUGUCGU
rnacentral:rRNA from 1 species